AUGUCUCUGCCCAGCGUGGGUCACCCCUGCCACGCCACUCGGGCGAGACGAAAGAGGCACAACUGCUCGGGUAACACCAACUCCUGCAAGUGGGAAGGACAUAGCGAGGCGGGGGGGAUAAAAAUCCUUAGGGCAAUUGGAAGUGGGAAUUCCAAACCCCGGAGCGCCCGGCCGGCAGCGGCAGUGCCGGGGGUGGGGCCGUUCCGCCCCGGGGCUCGGGGAGGGGACAGAUCCCUGCCGAGGGAUGGACCCGACCCGACCCGAGCUGUCCUGAGGGGCGGCCCCGGGAGGGGCAGCUCGGUCCGGUCCGGUCCGGUCCGGCGGUGCGGGCGCUGCGGGACGGAGCCGCGCUCUCGGCCGAGUUGUAGAAGGAACAUGAAGCCUGCCAUAGAGGCAGAAGGUCAGUAGAUUGGGAGUUCAGAGAUCACUUUCAAACAACCCAGAAUUAAUUUCUACAUCUGGCUACAGGUAAGAAGAACUUGGGGAUGCUGGGCCCUGCUGUUGGUGAACAGAGGAGGGCUGGUGGGAGAUGUGAUGGUUGGAGUCUGUCUUGGGCAUAGUGCUCUUGAAAUGAGAGUUUUCAAUGGACUUCCAGACUUUGGUCUGUUCAGGUCACUGGUUGAGGCAGUCCCUUGGGAAGCAGUCCUGAGAGGCAGGGGGUGCAGGAAGGCUGGAUGUUACCCAAGAACAGCAUCUGAAAGGCACAGGAGCAGGCCAGCCCAAUGUGCCAUAAGACAAGCCAGCAGGGAGGAAAACUGGCCUGGAUGAACAGGGAGCUUUUGGUUCAACUCAAGGGGAAAAAAAAAAUACCAGAAGGGGCAAGUGGCUCAGGAGUAUUACAAGGGUGUCAUGGGGUUAUGCAGGGAGAAAGUCAAAAGGCCAAAGGCCCAGCUAGAAUUUAAUCUGGCAAGUACCACAAGAGAUCACAACAAUUUUUUUCCCAAAUACAUUAAUAACAGAGAGCCAAGGAGACUCUCCAUCCUUUAUUGCAUGUGAAGGAAAAUAUUGCCUCCAAGGAUGAGGAAAAGGCUGAGGUACUUGAUGCCUUCUUUGCUUCAGUCUUUAAAUGAAGGACCAGUUAUUAUCAGGGUGUCAAACCCCCUGAGCUGGAAGAUAGGGACAGGAUAAUCCCCCUGUAAUCCAGGAGGAAACUGUGACCUCCUGCUCCACUUAAAAUUUCACAAUUGUGGGGUCAGGUGGGAUCCACUCAAGGGGACUGAGGGAGCUGGAGGACGAGCUCACAGAGCUGCUCUCCAUCAUUUGCUGGUGAAUUGGGGAAGUCCCAGAUGACUGGGGAUUAGCCAAUGUGACACCCAUCUACAAGAAGGCUGAAAGGAGGAUCUGGAGAGCCACAAGCCCAUGAGCCUGACCUCAAUGCCAAGGAAGGCUGUGGAACAGAUCAUACUCAGCAUGACCACACGAUCACAAGAGGCAGGUCCUGCUCAGCAAACCUGAUCCUACAAAUUUCUGACUAAGUAUAGCAGCGUUACUGACCAUUUUCCCUUCAUCUUGGGCUCCUGCUUAUUGUAUUCAGGGAGGCUGAUUGCAACAUAAUGAUGUUGCUAUGUCUGGCUUAUCUGAUUUUCUGUUUGUGGCCAUUAAUUAGGUACGUCAUUGGUAUGCUCAGUUGCAAAUAACAGAGCCUGUAGAUACUUUUUCUGGACAGCUUCAGUGAGAUGGCAUCAUAUCUGUGGCUGCUUUGUGAUCUGGGAAUCAGCAACUAUCAAAACUGCUGCAUCAUUUCUUCCCACAACCUGUUUAUUUUUUUGUAGAAACUUGCUAAUCUCAUUCUCUGACUCUUUGCUGUAGCUUGCUUUUAAUGCAACUUAUCCCACAGAGUGUCUAUCCAGCAUUUCAUUACAGCUAUACAAGAGGGUGUUUAUACUUCUUGCUUUUAUUUCAGGAGAAAACUUAGUUCUAAACCCACUGUAAGUGAAUUGGAUAUUGCAGGGUUCAUUCUGGAAAAGUGAAGUCAUGAUAAAUACAGAAGAUGCAGUUAAAGACAGGUGCCUUAAAUGUCCUCUGCUUUCAAAAGGUUGCAGUAUUUUAUUGGUCUAAGGUACUCCAUUUAAAAUAUUUGCUCUCCUCUUACCUUAAACAUUCACAUGUGCUUGGUCUGCCAUCCUCUCUAUAUUCAGGAGGAGGAGCUCUAAAGCUGUUGGUAAAAUGCUAAAAAUUAAUUCCCCUAAAUACUAGGGGAAUUUGCUGGUCAUGUUUCCCUGUGGAGCACCACUCUGUGUUUCUAUGCCUAGCAGACUGAUUAGUCACCUACUAAAUGCUGUUAUUGUCAAAUCUCACCUCUUCUACUCUCAUUAGCAAUGUAAACAUGGAGGAAAUGGAGAUAUUCAGCUGUUUUCUGGUGGGUCCCCAAAAUACUUCUAUCAGGCUGCAUGUGAUGGGUGAUAUUUAUUGUUCCAGACCCUUAGCAGCUACCUAGGUAUGCAGCAGUACUUUGCUGGACCUUUCCCCCUCUUCUCUGUUUUUUGUUACCAAAUUUGUAGCAAAUUUACAAACAGCCCCUCAGGUGUUUUGCAGUUCCUAUGUCCACAUAUUCACUUGAAAGAACAUCGCUAAUCUCAAGGGUAUUUGGUUCCUUACCCUGAAGACAACAGGGGUUGGUGCAAACACUUUUUCCAAGGCUUACCAGAGCUGUGUUGCUGUGUUUGUGCUGGAUGUACAUUCAAACAUAGCUUUUAUAUUUUAAUGCCAUAAAAUAGUUGAAGUCUUGAUAAAAAUACACAGCACUGACAAGCAGUAAUAAAACAAAGAAAGAAGUGAAGUUAUACCACAAUGUACCACAAUGCAUUUAGCCCUUGAAGACUGGAUGUUCAUGACAAAUUCUGGUUGAUCUGCUUUGCUACCCCAGCAGUACUUUCCUUAAACUCAGGAUAUUUUUGGUGCCCAGAACUGCAGGAAUGGCCACAAGAGGGCACAGCUAUUGCUUGAAAACGUUGGGAUCAACCAAAGCAUCUUUCCCAGCCUGAGAUGCAAAAUCAUCUCUAACCAUUUCUCUGCAUGUUCUGAGGUGCAACAAGGAAUUGCAUUGCAAAUCCGUUUUAGUUAAUAGUGUAUUGUGUAUCUAUAGACACAUGUAUAUUUGCUAAUAGUUAGAUCAUCCUUUUGCACCUUCUUUCCUGAAAUUUUCUGCCAAUUUGCAAGCCUAUCCAGCUUCAUAGGCUAAAUCUCCUAAUUACCUAGGUAUAAACUGUAUCAAUUAAAUCCUAGAAGGGAAACAAUAGCAAAGUCCUUAUUGACAUCCAUUUAUAUUCCGUUUUUGAAACAACACUUCUUGUUUCAACAACAUUGCACUUCUGCAAUGUGUAUAAUCGUGGUUUCCCUGUCAUCAUCUGAUCAUCUCUGGCUAAAACACUUGUUUUUACUUGGUAUGGUAAGAUUUAGGCCUGGAGGCUUUGAGACCUUCUGCAGAGCUCUGAGAAUUACACAGUUCUAAUGUAAUUAUGUAAAAACAAUCCUAAUUGCUUUCAGUGCAAAGUGAGAAUGUAACGUUUCGUUCUCUGACAUCACUAAAUGCAUGUCCUAAAAGAAUUUUUACAGUUCAUUUCUUCCAUUUGUUACCACUAUUUGAACUAUUCUCUGACAUCACUAAAUGCAUGCCCUAAAAGAAUUUUUACAGUCCAUUUCUUCCAUUUGUUACCACUAUUUGAACUGUCAUGUAGAUCAUAUGAUGUUUUUUAGGAAUAUUACUCAAUUGUCAUGUAGAUCAUAUGAUGUUUUUUAGGCAUAUUACUCAAUGAAAUUUUUUUCUUAUUAGGAAUGAUUUGCCAGGUUUCAGGGACUUCUGAAUAUCUACUGUUACAAUUUGAAAAGUUAAGGAUUGAAGGAAUGCAGGAUGCUUGUUUUAGCUCCAUGUAAUUGGCUUAAUGCCAAAUUCAUGUUGUACCAUCAGUCAAUCAUUCAAUUAUCAUCUAGUUUGGGUUGUUUCCCUUUUUUGUCGUCUGGGAUUUUGCUACCAAGGAAAUAUCAGCGAAGCACUGUUAGUCAUGUCAGGCAGGAAAUCACUUUGCUCAGGGCAGGGUGCACUAAAAGUAGGUGUGAGCAUAUGCAGAUCCAGCAGCAGCAGGCUGGUGGCAGUCCUUGCAUGGUGGAGUUACAAGAUCAUCUGUGGUGGCAGCCCUGUGUCUGUUUCCUUUGUUUUAUCCCUUUUGUGCUUGGAACAAGGGAUCCGUGGUGAUAUUUAAAUAUCAGGGUUUCAUUGUGCAGUGAGGUGUCUCUGUGCAUUUUGCAAUUUUACUUUGGAUGCCUUUUUUGGUUCCAUAACUCAAGCCCUAUAUUGGUUAACUUUGGCUUUUAAAUUUAAUAAGCAAAGCCAUGAAAAUGAUAGGCAGCAUUUUGACAGAAAGCACCUGGGCAGAAAAGGGCCUGGUGGUUCCCUGGACCACAAGCUGACCAGGAGCCACAGAUGAUCCCACAGCCUGGAGAACAGCCUUACCAGUCUAAAGUUCAAAGUGUAACAAGAGUGGGCUUCCAAUUCCCUCCCUUUCUCCCUUUUUUUUUUUUUUUAAUUACCUUUUAACAAACUGGUUUGCUCACAGUGUACCUAUGUGACCUUUGUAUCAGCUACUCACUGAAAGUGAAUGAUGUCACAUCCCUUUUCUCUCCUGUACGCUCUCCGUUCCUUUUUCAGAAGAAGGAAGUGCCAGACCAUAGAGUUGUAGGCAUCCUCACAGACUUUAGUUUGUUAAACAUCUUUUCAGCUGAGCAGGGAAUUCUGUGAUGUCUUGAAAGCAGGGACAGGUGAGUUUCAUGCCUUCUCUACAGCACUGGCUCUGUCCUACCAAACUCGUGCUUCUUUCUCUUCUACAGCUUAGAAAAUGAUUUACAGGGUUAACCCAGCUGCGAUGUGGAGGGUGGGGAAUGUAAAGGGUUAGAGGUAGGGUUAGGGUUAGGCAGGGUGGGCAGGGUUUUGCUGCCUGUAGCACUGGCAGCACGUGCUCGCAUUUCCGUGCAGGAGGAGAAAACCUUUUGGGGAUCCGGAGCUGAUCAUUUCUCUAUGUGCCAGCUGGGUUCUCCGUCCCGUUCCCUGCGUAUUUGGUUUCCUCCUCACAGAGUUUUUUGCAUAUGUGUCUCAAGUUCAGAAGGACUGAAGUUCCAGAGGGUGACAGAUGAGGUUUCUAAUGGUGUUCCCAGAGUUUGUUGUGCAC
rnacentral:lncRNA from 1 species